UGUGCCUACGGGGGGCAGCAGUGAGGAAUAUUGGUCAAUGGGCGCGAGCCUGAACCAGCCAAGUAGCGUGAAGGAUGACUGCCCUACGGGUUGUAAACUUCUUUUAUAAAGGAAUAAAGUGAGGCACGUGUGCCUUUUUGUAUGUACUUUAUGAAUAAGGAUCGGCUAACUCCGUGCCAGCAGCCGCGGUAAUACGGAGGAUCCGAGCGUUAUCCGGAUUUAUUGGGUUUAAAGGGAGCGUAGGCGGGAUAGCAAGUCAGAUGUGAAAUCCUAUGGCUUAACCAUAGAA
rnacentral:rRNA from 1 species